CGAUUUGCUGCCUGACCUUGUUGGUGCCUGUGAUGAUGAUUAUACAGCAUUGUGCAUGCCAUUAAAGGGGAGGGGAGGAACUUGAGAGGAGAUCUUAGGGCCCUAGUCCUGGCCACAGAGUCUCCUUGCAGCCCAAGACAGAAGCUGAUGAUUCACAGUAGAGAAGAAGUGAAUAUUCCAGUUCAUUUUAUCUUCAAACAGCUAAUUGGAUUAGCUACUAUCACCCGAAUUUUACACCAAGAAAACUGAUGAUCAGAGAAAUAAAGCCAAGUUCCUAGGACCACAAAGUGGGUAAGAGGCAGAGCAGGAUUUAAACCCAGAUUUGUUUGACUUCAAAGCUUAUGCUUUUUCACUAUUUCUCCUCACACCCACUGACCCCACAAUGUCUCAUAAGGGGAUCUGCAAGGCAGCCCUAAAUUCCAAGCAGGACAUGUAACUCCUCAAUGGACAAAUGGACACUGGACCCUGGUUGAAGGAACCUGUUGUUCUUAUGGUGGAGGGCAGAAACCCAAGAGGGCUGGAGCCAAUCCAUGGAUUCUUCACCCAUGGUUGCUUAGGUUUAUAAGCAAGGAAGCUGAAUGAAGUCCCUUUCCUCUCUGGAUGAGCCCCUGGGUUUCUGGAAGAGUCUUAAAAUCACCCCUAAAUGGCUUCCAAGCACUGAAGCCCGAGAUGUUAGCUGGCCUGUGUGAGGCCUUGAGACAGAAUGCCACAGCCACACCCCAAGGAUGCUGAAGGGGAUUUCCCUCCUCUGUGGUUUUUCUCCUUUCUUCCCGCAGCACUCCUCCUACGUGCUAACAUCUUCUAGUCAAACAACUCUCCUUUUCAAAGGGACCAGGCACAGUUUCUGCUUAUCCCUGAGUAGCAGUGUUCAGUUUCCUGCCAGCCUGUGGAGUUUUUCAAACAAGCCAAUCACCUCCUCCUGUGGGAACUGAGAAGCACCCCACCCUCUCGAUACUACAAAGCCCCUGCUUGUUCCCUAGUGCAACUCCCAUGUGGUCCUGUGGAGCAUAUGGUAUCUUCCUCUUCUGGGCAGUGAGCAUAUGUGACUAAUAAACUAUCUAUCUCAUCUGUUCAGUGCCAGGUGUCAUUUGUUCUGCCAUCCCAUGACCUAGGGUGGGGAUUCCUUCCACACCAACAGGGUGAAUGCAAGGUGAUUAAAACAAGAAGCCUCUUCAGGAUCUAUAUCCUAGGGAAAAAAUUAAACAACAACAACAAAACAAGAAGCUUCAACUCUGACCCUGUAUUCCAGAUGUGUUACAGGGGCCUGUCUCCCCAGAGCCACUCUCCAGGUCAGAGCUUACCUCCCCUUGCUCAGGGUUAGGAGCUCUGGGCAGGAAAAGGACAUCAUGUUAAAA
rnacentral:lncRNA from 1 species